UGUUGCAUGGCUGUCGUCAGCUCGUGUCGUGAGAUGUUCGGUUAAGUCCGCUAACGAGCGCAACCCUCGUCGUAUGUUACAAGUGUCAUACGAGACUGCCGGUUAAAAAGCCCGGAGGAAGGUGAGGAUGAUGUCAAGUCAGCAUGACCUUUAUAUCCAGGGCUACACACACGCUACAAUGGUCUGUACAAUGGGUAGCCAAGCCGCGAGGCGGAGCCAAUCCUGAAAGCAGGCCUCAGUUCAGAUUGCAGUCUGCAACUCGACUGCAUGAAGCCGGAGUUGCUAGUAACCGCAGGUCAGCAAUACUGCGGUGAAUACGUUCCCGGGUCUU
rnacentral:rRNA from 1 species